AACCCAGUGCAAUUCGUUGCACUAUCGUUAACUGAAUACAUAGGUUAACGAGGCGAACCGGGGGAACUGAAACAUCUAAGUACCCCGAGGAAAAGAAAUCAACCGAGAUUCCCCCAGUAGCGGCGAGCGAACGGGGAGCAGCCCAGAGUCUGAAUCAGCUUGUGUGUUAGUGGAACGGUCUGGAAAGUCCGACGGUACAGGGUGAUAGUCCCGUACACCAAAAUGCACAGGUUGUGAACUCGAAGAGUAGGGCGGGACACGUGGUAUCCUGUCUGAAUAUGGGGGGACCAUCCUCCAAGGCUAAAUACUCCUGACUGACCGAUAGUGAACCAGUACCGUGAGGGAAAGGCGAAAAGAACCCCGGCGAGGGGAGUGAAAAAGAACCUGAAACCGUGUACGUACAAGCAGUGGGAGCACCUUCGGGUGUGACUGCGUACCUUUUGUAUAAUGGGUCAGCGACUUAUAUUCUGUAGCAAGGUUAACCGUAUAGGGGAGCCGCAGGGAAACCGAGUCUUAACUGGGCGUUAAGUUGCAGGGUAUAGACCCGAAACCCGGUGAUCUAGCCAUGGGCAGGUUGAAGGUUGGGUAACACUAACUGGAGGACCGAACCGACUAAUGUUGAAAAAUUAGCGGAUGACUUGUGGCUGGGGGUGAAAGGCCAAUCAAACCGGGAGAUAGCUGGUUCUCCCCGAAAGCUAUUUAGGUAGCGCCUCGUGAAUUCAUCUUCGGGGGUAGAGCACUGUUUCGGCUAGGGGGUCAUCCCGACUUACCAACCCGAUGCAAACUACGAAUACCGAAGAAUGUUAUCACGGGAGACACACGGCGGGUGCUAACGUCCGUCGUGAAGAGGGAAACAACCCAGACCGCCAGCUAAGGUCCCAAAGUCAUGGUUAAGUGGGAAACGAUGUGGGAAGGCACAGACAGCCAGGAUGUUGGCUUAGAAGCAGCCAUCAUUUAAAGAAAGCGUAAUAGCUCACUGGUCGAGUCGGCCUGCGCGGAAGAUGUAACGGGGCUAAACCAUGCACCGAAGCUGCGGCAGCGACACUAUGUGUUGUUGGGUAGGGGAGCGUUCUGUAAGCCUGCGAAGGUGACCUGUGAGGGUUGCUGGAGGUAUCAGAAGUGCGAAUGCUGACAUAAGUAACGAUAAAGCGGGUGAAAAGCCCGCUCGCCGGAAGACCAAGGGUUCCUGUCCAACGUUAAUCGGGGCAGGGUGAGUCGACCCCUAAGGCGAGGCCGAAAGGCGUAGUCGAUGGGAAACAGGUUAAUAUUCCUGUACUUGGUGUUACUGCGAAGGGGGGACGGAGAAGGCUAUGUUAGCCGGGCGACGGUUGUCCCGGUUUAAGCAUGUAGGCUGGUUGUCCAGGCAAAUCCGGAUAAUCAAGGCUGAGGUGUGAUGACGAGGCACUACGGUGCUGAAGUAACAAAUGCCCUGCUUCCAGGAAAAGCCUCUAAGCAUCAGGUAACAUCAAAUCGUACCCCAAACCGACACAGGUGGUCAGGUAGAGAAUACCAAGGCGCUUGAGAGAACUCGGGUGAAGGAACUAGGCAAAAUGGUGCCGUAACUUCGGGAGAAGG
rnacentral:rRNA from 1 species